UGGGCUUCACGCAAUCGGUUCGGUUCUGAAUUUACAUGAAUUUAUUUUGUUUGUGUUUUUUUAUUCGUGAAGCUAAAAAAAAAUACCUGUUCCUCUCGCUAUCCAUUGCGGCCUUAUGUCGCAUUUGGACGUUGGGGAACUACAUUC